UACGGGUGGCUGCAGUGGGGAAUAUUGGACAAUGGGCGAAAGCCUGAUCCAGCCAUGCCGCGUGUGUGAAGAAGGCCUUCGGGUUGUAAAGCACUUUCAGUGGGGAAGAAAGCCUUGGGGCUAAUACCCUCGAGGAAGGACAUCACCCACAGAAGAAGCACCGGCUAACUCCGUGCCAGCAGCCGCGGUAAUACGGAGGGUGCGAGCGUUAAUCGGAAUUACUGGGCGUAAAGCGCGCGUAGGCGGUCUGAUAAGCCGGUUGUGAAAGCCCCGGGCUCAACCUGGGAACGGCAUCCGGAACUGUCAGGCUAGAGUGCAGGAGAGGAAGGUAGAAUUCCCGGUGUAGCGGUGAAAUGCGUAGAGAUCGGGAGGAAUACCAGUGGCGAAGGCGGCCUUCUGGACUGACACUGACGCUGAGGUGCGAAAGCGUGGGCAGCAAACAGGAUUAGAUACCCUAGUAGUC
rnacentral:rRNA from 1 species